UUAUCUAUUCUUUUCUCCUCACUUCUUCUUCAGUUUCUCUUUGUUUCUUCUUUCUUCGUCUCUUUCUUUCUCUUCGUGUUCUUCUUCUUCUGCGAGUUUCAGAGAAUCGAAUGGAAGUUUUGUGAUCAACAGAAGGUGGAGAAGAUCAUGCAGUGGUCGUCGGUGAUGGUGAUGGUGUCUGUGGUGGAUCCAAAUUCGAUUGAGGAAGAGAUUUAGAAGCUAGGGUUUCUACCAAAAGCUCAGAGAAGAAUUAAGAGAGGGAAUUAGUGUUCUAGGAGGAGGAAUUGAAAUAGGUUUAUGUCUAAUUUGGUUAUGAAGUUGAUUCAGUGAAGAAUUUAGGGGUUAGGGUUUCUGCAUGUUGUAUUGGAAUUCACUUUGAGUGAGAAUUAAGAAGAUAGAGAUGGAAUUACAAGAUGGGUUUGCUUAAUUGAACAGUUAAUUGAUGUUUUGGGUUUGAAUUAUAGAUUGAAGACAGUUAGGUUUUAUGUAUUCUUCCCCAAAUUAUAAUUAGGGUUUCAGUGAUGAGAAUUGGGGCGUGUUGAUGCUAAUGAUUCAAGAUGGAGAAGACGAUGAUUGUGGAAGUAACAGAUGGGUUUUGGUGUUGAUUCAAGUUGUAAGAAACUAGCAGAGAAAGAUUAUCCAGCCGCACGAGAUUUGGAUUUCACUUGAGGUGGUAAUGGGUGAAAAUGAAUGGUAUCACUGAGCAUGUAAUUGGGGAGUUUUCAUGAUUGCAGGUGCAGGUAAUAUGAAUGUAUAUGUUGGUAGUUUAGAUGAGUUGAAAUGCAAGCUGAGAUGUUAUUGAGUCAUGAGAUGAUCCCGCAGGUGGCUGUAAUUGGGUAUGUUGGUGGUCUGUUAUUGAAUUGUAGCUAAGUUUUUCUCAGACUUGCAGGGGAGUUGGAUGAAUGGAUUAGGAAUUGUAUGUAGUAGAUGAGAGCAAUGAAGGAUAAUUGCAGGAUGGUUAAAGUUGUAGGGUUUCAGUUAGAAAUGGAAGGAACAUAUGGAUGCAAGUUACAGGCAGAAGAUUUGGUUAUUAUUGGUGGUGUAAGUGGUGGCAGAUCCAUGAACUUGUUGUGUUUAGCUGCAAUAGCAGUUGGUAUAUGAGGUGUAGAAAAUAAGAUGAACUGAGUUGUUGUGGUUAAAUUAGAUUGAGAUAGAUAUAUGUAGUUGUGAAGAAUAUUUGUCAUUGUUGGAUGAUAGAGCUCAACUUGGUGGUGCUGUAAUAUGCAAAGGAAAGGAUGGAGAUGGAUGUUUUGGCAUGAGAAUGUGCUGAUGUUGUGAGAGCUGAUAUGGGUUAUGAUGAUGAAAAGGAAAUUAGUAUUACACUGUUAGUGGUUAGGGUAUGGAGUUCGAAAUUAGACUGUAGAGUUCAGUUUAGUGGUGGUGUUACUUCACUUGAAUUUGGAUGUUACCUAAAGCUGCAAUUGCAGGUAAACUCAGUUUAUUGUUGUAAUUAAAUUAUGAAGUUUGUUUAUGUUUGAAUGAACUGAGGUAAUGUAUAGUUUGAGGUUGAACUGGGAUUUGAGUUAUUAUUUGUGUGAGAA